rnacentral:rRNA from 1 species
AUCUUCGGCAAUGGGCGCAAGCCUGACCGAGCGACGCCGCGUGUGCGAUGAAGGCCUUCGGGUUGUAAAGCACUGUCGGGGGGGAGAAAAGGGCGCCAGCCCUUGAUCGAUCCCCGGAGGAAGCACGGGCUAAGUUCGUGCCAGCAGCCGCGGUAAGACGAACCGUGCGAACGUUGUUCGGAAUCACUGGGCUUAAAGGGCGCGUAGGCGGGCCGCCGCGUCCGGGGUGAAAGCCUCCCGCCCAACGGGAGAAGCGCCCCGGAGACCGGCGGCCUCGAGCGGGGUAGGGGCAUGUGGAACUUCCGGUGGAGCGGUGAAAUGCGUAGAUAUCGGAAGGAACGCUGGUGGCGAAAGCGACGUGCUGGACCCCUCCUGACGCUGAGGCGCGAAAGCCAGGGGAGCGAAC